rnacentral:rRNA from 1 species
AUUGAACGCUGGCGGCAGGCCUAACACAUGCAAGUCGAGCGGAUGAAGGGAGCUUGCUCCUGGAUUCAGCGGCGGACGGGUGAGUAAUGCCUAGGAAUCUGCCUGGUAGUGGGGGAUAACGUCCGGAAACGGGCGCUAAUACCGCAUACGUCCUGAGGGAGAAAGUGGGGGAUCUUCGGACCUCACGCUAUCAGAUGAGCCUAUGUCGGAUUAGCUAGUUGGUGGGGUAAAGGCCUACCAAGGCGACGAUCCGUAACUGGUCUGAGAGGAUGAUCAGUCACACUGGAACUGAGACACGGUCCAGACUCCUACGGGAGGCAGCAGUGGGGAAUAUUGGACAAUGGGCGAAAGCCUGAUCCAGCCAUGCCGCGUGUGUGAAGAAGGUCUUCGGAUUGUAAAGCACUUUUAGUUGGGAGGAAGAGCAGUAAGUUAAUACCUUGCUGUUUUGACGUUACCAACAGAAUAAGCACCGGCUAACUUCGUG